GCGAGUGAGAGGGAAGAGCUCAAAUUUUAAAUCUGGCAGUCUUUGGCUGUCCGAGUUGUAAAUUGGAGAAGUGUCAUCUGUGCUGGCCUGUGUAAAAGUCUCUUGGAAAAGAGCAUCAUAGAGGGUGACAAUCCCGUCUUUGACACAGACUCCCAGUGCUUUGUGAUGCGCUCUCAAUGAGUCGAGUUGUUUGGGAAUGCAGCUCCAAAUGGGUGGUAAAUUCCAUCUAAAGCUAAAUAUUGGCGAGAGACCGAUAGCGCACAAGUACCGUGAGGGAAAGAUGAAAAGAACUUUGAAAAGAGAGUUAAACAGUAUGUGAAAUUGUUGAAAGGGAAACGCUUGAAGUCAGUCAUCUUGGAGAAAUCAACUUGAUCUUGGUCAAGUGCACUUUCUCCAAAAGAGUCAGCAUCAAUUUUGACCGUUGGAAAAAGGCCUUGGGAAUGUGGCAUCUUCGGAUGUGUUAUGACCAGGGUUAUAUACAAUGGUUGGGAUUGAGGAAAGCAGGAUGCUGGCAUAAUGGCUUUAAUCGACCCGUCUACCCCCCCGGCGCCCCCAUGUUUUUCUCUUACCGCUGCUGUUUUUAUGGCUUUGAUCGACCCAGUAGGAGCCAAUUCCACACACAGAAUUUAUUUCGGUUUUAGGAACAAAUCCAGAAAAGAGGAGACACCCAGGGCUUUUUUCACCGCCCAAAUUUGUUUUCUACUCUCUCGCGAAGGAAGAGGCCGUCAAACAAAAACCAGUUUCAUUUUCCCCUUAUGAACGUGUUCCUCGCCUCCCGUUCACAAUAUUUCAAACCCGGUAAAACUCUUUCUCCCAGUAUCUUUUAACUUCCCCAAGAAAAGUGGGGCCUAUGGUUCUUGCCCAUAUUUUAGUUUCGAAGGUAAUUCACCCCCACUGUUGAGCUUGCUUCCAAUCCGUAUUCUUUUA
rnacentral:rRNA from 1 species